rnacentral:rRNA from 1 species
GCAGCACGGGUGCUUGCACCUGGUGGCGAGUGGCGAACGGGUGAGUAAUACAUCGGAACAUGUCCUGUAGUGGGGGAUAGCCCGGCGAAAGCCGGAUUAAUACCGCAUACGAUCUACGGAUGAAAGCGGGGGACCUUCGGGCCUCGCGCUAUAGGGUUGGCCGAUGGCUGAUUAGCUAGUUGGUGGGGUAAAGGCCUACCAAGGCGACGAUCAGUAGCUGGUCUGAGAGGACGACCAGCCACACUGGGACUGAGACACGGCCCAGACUCCUACGGGAGGCAGCAGUGGGGAAUUUUGGACAAUGGGCGAAAGCCUGAUCCAGCAAUGCCGCGUGUGUGAAGAAGGCCUUCGGGUUGUAAAGCACUUUUGUCCGGAAAGAAAUCCUUGGCUCUAAUACAGUCGGGGGAUGACGGUACCGGAAGAAUAAGCACCGGCUAACUACGUGCCAGCAGCCGCGGUAAUACGUAGGGUGCAAGCGUUAAUCGGAAUUACUGGGCGUAAAGCGUGCGCAGGCGGUUUGCUAAGACCGAUGUGAAAUCCCCGGGCUCAACCUGGGAACUGCAUUGGUGACUGGCAGGCUAGAGUAUGGCAGAGGGGGGUAGAAUUCCACGUGUAGCAGUGAAAUGCGU